UGUCGUCAGCUCGUGCCGUGAGGUGUUGGGUUCAGUCCCGCAACGAGCGCAACCCUCGCCCUUUGUUGCCAUCGGGUAAAGACCGGGCACUCUAAGGGGACUGCCAGCGACAAGUUGGAGGAAGGAGAGGAUGACGUCAAGUCAUCAUGGCUUUAUGCCUAGGGCCACACACGUGCAACAAUGGCCGGUACAGACGGAGGCAAUGCCGAGAGGCGGAGCAAACCCGAGAAAACCGGUCCCAGUUCGGAUUGAGGUUCUGCAACUACGACCUCAUGAAGUCGGAAUCGCUAGUAAUCGCAUAUCAGAACGAUGCGGUGAAUACGUUCCCGGGCCUUGUACACACCGCCCGUCACACCACGAAAGUUUGUUGUACCCGAAGUCGGUGCCUUAACCUCGCAAGUAGGAGAGAGCCGC
rnacentral:rRNA from 1 species